UUCCUGGUGGUCCAGUGGCUAAGACUCUGCACUUCCAAGGCCGGGGGCCCUGGUUCAACCCCUGGUCAGGGAA
rnacentral:tRNA from 1 species